rnacentral:rRNA from 1 species
GAUGAACGCUGGCGGCGUGCUUAACACAUGCAAGUCGAACGGGAAAUAUUUCAUUGAGACUUCGGCGGAUUUGAUUUAUUUCUAGUGGCGGCCGGGUGAGUAACGCGUGGGUAACCUGCCUUAUACAGGGGGAUAACAGUCAGAAAUGGCUGCUAAUACCGCAUAAGCGCACAGAGCUGCAUGGCUCAGUGUGAAAAACUCCGGUGGUAUAAGAUGGACCCGCGUUGGAUUAGCUAGUUGGUGGGGUAACGGCCCACCAAGGCGACGAUCCAUGGCAGGGCUGAGAGGGUGAACGGCCACAUUGGGACUGAGACACGGACCAGACUCCUACGGGAGGCAGCAGUGGGGAAUAUUGCACGAUGGAGGAAACCGUGAUGCAGCGACGCCGCGUGAAGGAAGAAGUAUCUCGGUAUGUAAACUUCUAUCAGAAGGGAAGAUAGUGACGGUACCUGACUAAGAAGCCCCGGCUAACUACGUG